GCUAGCGCAUUGCGUUCAGGUGCCCCCUUGGGGUGAAACGGGAAACCGGUGCGUCACGCCUCGCUCUACAAGAGGCAGGACAAUGCCGGUGCUGCCCCCGCAACGGUAAGCGAGUGAAGCGUCUAGACCACUGUGCCCGUCGACUUGGCAUGGGAAGGUGACGCCAACAACGGAGCCCCGCUCCACCUCGCCAGCCCGGAGACCGGCCUGACACCACAUGAACAC
rnacentral:ncRNA from 2 species